UUUGUGUUUGUUUUGUUCCCACUGAAGGAAAACAAUAUAAAAGGAGAGCAAGAGAUAACACAGAAAGUAAAGUAGAAAGAAAGAGAAUGUCCAAAUUUAUCUCACGUUUUAUCAUUUGGCAUCUGGAGUUUGAUGUCUCGGUGGAGGCAGUGGAGGCUUCGUUGAUGGAGCAUCGAUUCUGGUGCAAGAAAUUUAGCUAAUAAAGGUCGCAAUAUCUAUCGGCUGAACAACUUGUGUCUGAUCUAAGCAAUCCCAAUCUUCAUGAAAUGCUCCCCUAGAACUUCCUAAGCUUUAUCAAUUUUUCUCUCUUUCACAGGUUUACAUUGAUAUUUCAAUUUUUUUUUUCAUUAUUAUUAUUUAUAUCGACUUCUUGGGCAAUAUUUUGUACACUUGAAUUGUGAAAUUCCGUCCAAAAGUGUAGGCCUUGGUUUUUUCAUGUAGUUGAAUUAUCUAAAAAAAUGAGAUGGAAAAAUUUAGAUGCUUUUUGUGACUAGUUGGAGAAAAAAGAGGUUCAACAUUUUAUUUUCAGAUUUCUUCUGUAUUGUUGUAUCAUUUCAUUAUUUCCAUCGAUUAGUCGGGGAUGAUUUUCUAUAAUUCAGCUUUGGAUUACCGUAAAGUUUGAUCUAAACUCAAAUUAUUCAGAACUGUACAGUAAUCCUGAAUGGAGUUACACAAAACCAUACCUGAUGAGUCUAUAGAAUAAAUAUAUAGAUACCAGUUCAAAUGAAACAUGAAAAUAAACUGUUGAAGUGAGAAGAAUAACCAUGGAAGAUUCUAGAAGAGUAAUUAAUGAAGAUUAGUAUUUUAGAGAUCAAGCACAAGAGGAAAAUUUUCCAGGAUUUGGCACCGAUGUUGUGAGAUUCAUUUGAUACUCCUGUUACACUCAUACAGGUAUUUUUAAGAAGUGCUUCUUUAUAAUUCUAGACUUUUUCUCGUCUGUCAGAUGCCAAUUUCUUAAGUUAGUGAUUACUGAUUACAUAUGCCGCACACUGCACCAUUAAUAAUGAUGAAUGAAAGGAAUCAUCUGAUUGACCUUUUAUAGAAAAUCUGUCAUGGGAACAUCUUAAUUGCCUUUUGAUUGAGGUUAUUGAGCAAUUCAAAAUGGUUAAAAUUGACAAAUUGAUUGUAGAGUCCUAUAAUUAGUUUUUCCUGAACAUUUUUGUUGAGUCUUAGGAUGAUAAAAUAUUUUUUAUGAAGUUAUAGAGAAAACAUCUUAUAUCCAUCUAUAUUUGCAUAUUUAAUUAAUGAAACCAAUUUUAAAUAGGUGGUUGCAUGAUUUGUCCUUGACGGAGAGAGCAAGGGAGAACUAGAAAAGAUAAUGAAGAUGGUGUACUCGACAAUCUACAGAAAAAAUUCCAUUGACCCAUUAACAUUUUGGAGCAGUUGUUGUAGCCACCUCGUUGUCAUUAAAUCCUCCUUGUAUACACAUGAAAAAACCACACAUGGUCAGCAAAAAUAACAAGGGACUAAUUUCGUGGAAUGCUUUGUGAUCACUAAUUGAGAAUCCCGUGAGAGAGGAGUUGGGAGAAGCCUUAUGGACAAGAAAAAUACAACAUAUAUGUGAAUCUUAUAGAGGAUAGAUUUUUGGAAGAGAUAGAUAAUAAUGCACGUCUACCUAUAUAAACUAACAAGAGAAGGUAUUACAGUGGACAUUUUUGAAAUGGCUGGAGAAGGCAGUGAGGGAUUUGCUAUUGUUUGUUGCGAUAUGCAUGUUCUCCGAUCCAUCUUUUCCUUUUCACCAUUGAGGGUUGAGAUGAGAGGACCUUCUAGUCCUUCGGCUCUCACCUCAACCCUCAAUGGUGAAAACGAAAAGAUGAAUAGGAGUGUAAAUAUAUCACGAAAAACAAAAGCAUAUCCCUCACUGCCUUCUCCAGUCAUUUCUAAUAGGCCCACUGUGACGCUUUACCUAGUCAGUGUAUAGAGGUAGAUCUGCAGUAUUAUCCAUCUCAUCCAAAGAGAUAUGCUCUGUAAAAUUUCCCUCUACGUUGUGAUUUGCUAGUCACUAUGACUUCACACUCCUCCCUCCCAGGCUUUUCUAUUAGUGAUCAUGAAGCAUUCCUAUUCCGGCAUUUGGCCCUCAUUAGAUUUUUUCUAAUCAUGUGCGCAUUUUUCACAUGUAUUUCAAGGAGGAUCAAACAAUCAUGAUGUGGCUGCAGCAAUUGACCCGUAAUGUUAAUGGUAUUAUUUAUACUGAUUUUAAUACAUGAAUAAUUUAUUUCUUCACCCGUAAGUACUUUAAUUUCUUUUUGUCCUCUCAUUUAUUUGUGGUAUUUUUAAUUUGGGGUUAAGCUAGGGGUGGGGGCAGGGGAGGGAGAGAUUUUGAUCUCUGUUUGAGUUUUUUUUAUAUUGGUAAUAUAAUGAUCUUUUUAUAUUGCUAUAAUAGUUUAACUAAGGAGACCAUAAAGGUCUUCCAAAAGCAUUUUGCAAGAUUCUUUGUGGGUUCAAUGGGUGACAAAGCUAAACAACAUUGGAGAUCCUAAGGAUGAAGAAGGAAUAGACAACGGACAUGAGUGAUAUCAUCAAUACUCUUCUCAUUAAAAGAUUGUGGAGAUUUUGAGCUCAAACUUCUUUAUGGGAAGACUUUUCGAAAGUUAAAUAUUGUUUUAGAUCUCAUCCCACUUCGAAAAUGUUUUUUUCUGGUAACUCUCACACAUGGAAAUUUCUUUUGGCUGCUAGAGAUAAAGCUCAACACAAUACCAUUUGUCAAAUCAAUGUUUGAGAUUGUAGUUUCUUGUGGGACAACUGGUUCACCAGAGGUGCCCUUGUGAGCUUAAUCUCAGAGCCCAAGUCAAGGAUUUCCUAGUCAUGAACAACUUGAAUAUUGAUAAACUCAGAGAGUUGUUUCCAGAAUUCACUGUCCAGAAAAAAUUGGCAAGCCAUUCUGAUACUCUUUGGUGUCUCACUUCAGCUUCGAACUUGAUCAGACAAGCCAAGGAAAGGAAUUCGAAGUAAGUCAGGUUGGGAAAUAUUGUGCCAUUUUGGAAUUACACAUAACUCUUGACACCUAUAAGAAUCAUGAGAACCUGGAGGAACAUGAGAGACUAUAACAUUGUGCACAAAUUCAACCUUCAGAUUCUUCCUAUAUUUGUAUUAAUUGUGAGAUAUGGAAAAUUAAGGCAUCAUAGUGAAUAUGGAGCUCAAAAAGUGUUCUAGACAAGGAAAAUAGAGAAUCGCAUUCUCUGGAACAUCUCUGCUGUUUUGAGUAGCAGUUGGCCACGGUUCUGUCAAAUAUUGCAAAGACUCGGACCUGUUGUCAUCUGUAAACAAAUGCAAUGCCUGUCAAGGGCAGGAAGUGGAGGGGUUGAGUGGAAUGUGUCUAGAUAGCUAUUUAUGGCAUUCUCUGUUCCUGUCAAGUGCCACAUCAACAAUCAGGCUGAAGCUAUGGCUCCUAAGUAUGGAAUUGAUUGGUGCAGAAAAUCACAACAUCAACAAUGUAGAUGUGGAUCUAGACUCGAUGAUUAUUACUGACGUGAUCAGGAAACAGAAUACGGGCAAUAUGACGCUUAACAAAAUCAUCUAUUAUAUUCUUCGCAGGUUCAAGGACAAAGAUAUCCAAGUCCAACAUUGUUACAUGGAGGCUAAUCAGGUUAAGAUGCGUGCUGUGAUCGCGCAGAUGGAUUUGGGCAAUGCUCUAUUAAGGUUCGAUAAGAUUCUCUCAUUAUGGACGAACAAGGAAAAAUAGCAUAAGGAUCAAAAGGCUCUGUCACAAAUCAAUAUUUAUUUAUCCAAUCAGAUUCUACAAGAUAUUUUAAAGAAGACUACCGCCUUUACGUCGUGGUUGAAACUGGAAUCGUUAUUUAUGAUGAAGAGACUAAAAAGUAAUUUGUGUCUCAAACAACAUCUUUAUUCCUAUUGCGUAUAUGAGGGUUCGUCUUUGGAGGAUCAGUUAUCUGUGUUUAAUGAAAUUGUCUUUGAUUUAGAGACUCUGGAGGUUAUGUACGAUGAGGAAAAUCUUGGUUUGAUUUUAUUGUGCUAUGUACCUACAUCAUUCACGAACUUUAGGAAUACAAUUUUAUAUAGUCAUGAUACCUUGACCAUAUAUGUAGUCUAUGAUGUGUUUUUCUCUAAGGAGAAGAUGAAGCAUCUUAUGAAUUGGUCGAAGUCUCAAGAUGAUGGUCUCAUUAUUCGAUGAAAGACUCAUUAGAGGAACUCUAGGAGUGAUGAUAGAAAUAGGUCAAAAUCCAGUAAUAGAACCGAACCUUUAAUAAUUGUAACAAGAAGGUCAAUAUCAUAUCUGAGAGUUAUAAGUUAUAGAAUAGAGAGAGAAAAAAUCUCCAACACUAAAGGGAAACCAACUAGAGAAGUCCGGUGAAACCAGUUUUCUUGAAGAUGGCUACAGUGAAGGAGAACUCUUGGUAGUUCCUGAUGGUAUGUAAAAAUCCUAUGAGGACUGAAUUCUUGAUUCAGCUUGCACAUUUCAUAUGUGUCACAAUCAGGAUUGGUUUACAAUAUAUGAAAUAGUCUCUAAAGGUGAUGGGUUAAUGGGAAAUAACACUCCUUGUAAGAUAGCUGGUAUUUGAACAAUAAGAAUUAAGAUAUUUAAUGGGGUUUUGAGGAGACUUGGUGAUGUGCGGUAUGUCCCAGACCUGAAGAGAAAUCUUAUUUCCUUGAGUACCCUUAAUUCGAAUAGAUAUAGGUACACUGGUGAAGUUGGAGUCCAGAAGGUUACUGGAGGUGCUCUUGUUUUGAUGAAGGGACAGAUGAAGAUUACAAAUUUGUAUGUCUCGCAAGGCUCUAUGGUUACAGGAGAGGUCUACUUGAUGGCCAGAGUAUUACUAAAUUGGAGUUCUAUGAGCACUGUAUUUUUGGGAAGCAGAAAAGAGUCAGAUUCACUAAAAACAUCCACUCAACUAAAGACACACUUGAUUAUAUUCAUUCUAAUCUCUGGGGUCCUUUUAGAGGAGGUGUUAAUUACAUGAUGAAUAUUUUUUAUGACUAUUCCAGAAAAGUUUGGGUGUUCUUCUUGAAGCAAAAGAAUGAUGUAUUUCCUACUUUCAAGGAGUGGAAGACUAUGAUUUAAAAGCAAAUAGGAAAGUAGGUAAAACGUAGAGUUUUGUUCUAAUGAAUUUAAUUUUUAGUGCAAGUCAGAAGGAAUUAUAAGGCACUUAAUAGUUCAUCAUAAUUCGCUGUAAAAUAAAGUGGUUGAAUGAAUGAAUAGGAGUAUAAUGGAGAAGGCGUGGUGUGUGCUCUCUAAU